GUUCCUAUAGUUGAAUGACAACAAUGGUUUUUCAGAUCAUUGGUCCUGGUUAAAGUCCAGGUAGAAAUU
rnacentral:tRNA from 1 species